rnacentral:rRNA from 1 species
UACGGAGGGUGCAAGCGUUAUCCGGAUUCACUGGGUUUAAAGGGUGCGUAGGUGGGCAGGUAAGUCAGUGGUGAAAUCUCUGGGCUUAACUCAGAAACUGCCAUUGAUACUGGCGGGCUUGAGUACAGACGAGGUAGGCGGAAUUGAUUGUGUAGCGGUGAAAUGCAUAGAUACAAUCAAGAACACCGAUUGCGUAGGCAGCUUACUAGGCUGUAACUGACGCUGAGGCACGAAAGCGUGGAGAGCGAACAGG